rnacentral:rRNA from 1 species
UAGGGAAUCUUCGGCAAUGGACGGAAGUCUGACCGAGCAACGCCGCGUGAGUGAAGAAGGUUUUCGGAUCGUAAAGCUCUGUUGUAAGAGAAGAACGAGUGUGAGAGUGGAAAGUUCACACUGUGACGGUAUCUUACCAGAAAGGGACGGCUAACUACGUGCCAGCAGCCGCGGUAAUACGUAGGUCCCGAGCGUUGUCCGGAUUUAUUGGGCGUAAAGCGAGCGCAGGCGGUUAGAUAAGUCUGAAGUUAAAGGCUGUGGCUUAACCAUAGUACGCUUUGGAAACUGUUUAACUUGAGUGCAAGAGGGGAGAGUGGAAUUCCAUGUGUAGCGGUGAAAUGCGUAGAUAUAUGGAGGAACACCGGUGGCGAAAGCGGCUCUCUGGCUUGUAACUGACGCUGAGGCUCGAAAGCGUGGGGAGCAAACAGGAUUAGAUACCCUGGUAGUCCACGCCGUAAACGAUGAGUGCUAGGUGUUAGACCCUUUCCGGGGUUUAGUGCCGUAGCUAACGCAUUAAGCACUCCGCCUGGGGAGUACGAAANACAAGGUUG